GGCCGCGUGGCCUAAUGGCUAAGGCGCUAGAUUUCGGUUCACCGUCAUCCAAAUCUCUAGAGAUUCCAGGUUCGACUCCUGGCGUGGUCG
rnacentral:tRNA from 1 species